rnacentral:rRNA from 1 species
CCUACGGGAGGCAGCAGUGAGGAAUAUUGGUCAAUGGACGAGAGUCUGAACCAGCCAAGUAGCGUGAAGGAUGACUGCCCUAUGGGUUGUAAACUUCUUUUAUAUGGGAAUAACAUCUUCCACGUGUGGGCUUUUGUAUGUACCAUAUGAAUAAGGAUCGGCUAAAUCCGUGCCAGCAGCCGCGGUAAUACGGAGGCUCCGAGCGUUAUCCGGAUUUAUUGGGUUUAAAGGGAGCGUAGGUGGGUUGUUAAGUCAGUUGUGAAAGUUUGCGGCUUAAACGUAAAAUUGCAGUUGAAACUGGCAGUCUUGAGUACAGUAGAGGUAGGCGGAAUUCGUGGUGUAGCGGUGAAAUGCUUAGAUAUCACGAAGAACUCCGAUUGCGAAGGCAGCUCACUGGACUGCGACUGACGCUGAGGCUCGAAAGUGUGGGUAUCAAACAGGAUUAGAUACCCUGGUAGUC